GUACGCGGAUGUAAAGAAAACAAGCUAGAUUUAUAGACUGUCGCUACCAAGUAAUGAGCUUGGCAAUGAUAACAAUUACGUGGACAUGUGACAACAAUAUAAAAAUGAACAUACUUAAAAGAAUAUCAAGCUGCGUUACAGCAGAAUAAGAGAGAAAAAUACAUUUUCUAAUUGUUUGCAAGCCUAUGAUGGAAGCUCAUACUUCACUUAGCAGACCUGAAGAAAAUGCUGAUAGCGCUUCAUCUCUUUCAUCCAGCAGACUUCCUCGUCCGCAGGGAAGUUACGGCACAACAGCGACGUCGAUGCCAAUUACUGUCAAGAUACCAGUAAAAAAGUCAGUAUUAAACAGUCGAGAUUCCAGUGAAAACCCGAACGAAUCCGACUGUGUACGCAAGGGAAAAAAUGAAAGAAACUUUAGAUCGUGGCGUUCACAGAUCCCAAAGCCCCUGGAAUCAUCUUCAGAGGACAUUCAGGUCAACAAUGACAAUAAGAAAACUGUGUUAAGGUCGGUGCUGGAUAUUAUAGAUGCUCGUGUAUUCCACAGGUAUAAACAAAUGCCUAUUCUCAGAUGCUGGGUUGUAACUUUUGUGACAUUAGUAGUAAUAGUUUCUAUUGUUUGUUGCUGCUUACUGUUUAUCAGAGAAAAAUAAAAAUAAAAAAAAAUUCG